rnacentral:rRNA from 1 species
GAUGAACGCUGGCGGCGUGCCUAAUACAUGCAAGUCGAGCGAACAGACGAGGAGCUUGCUCCUCUGACGUUAGCGGCGGACGGGUGAGUAACACGUGGAUAACCUACCUAUAAGACUGGGAUAACUUCGGGAAACCGGAGCUAAUACCGGAUAAUAUAUUGAACCGCAUGGUUCAUUAGUGAAAGACGGUUUUGCUGUCACUUAUAGAUGGAUCCGCGCCGCAUUAGCUAGUUGGUAAGUUAACGGCUUACCAAGGCAACGAUGCGUAGCCGACCUGAGAGGGUGAUCGGCCACACUGGAACGGAGACACGGACCAGACUCCUACGGGAGGCAGCAGUAGGGAAUCUUCCGCAAUGGGCGAAAGCCUGACGGAGCAACGCCGCGUGAGUGAUGAAGGUCUUCGGAUCGUAAAACUCUGUUAUUAGGGAAGAACAAAUGUGUAAGUAACUAUGCACGUCUUGACGGUACCUAAUCAGAAAGCCACGGCUAACUACGUG